AGUCAGCUCGGUUUGGAGAGCGAGCUCUAAGUUAUAGUGACUCAGUUCGAUUUUCAUCUGCAAGAUUUGGAUUGAAUGAGUAUGCGUUGCAGGUUAACGUAGAAUCAGUCGAAUCAUGUGCCUGAUGAGAUUAUUUUUUUCUUUUAAGUGGGACAUAUUUUGGAUAUAUUCUCAAAUUAUGGUCAGUCCAAAUUAUGAUAUUUGGUGUGUGAUAUCGAUUUAAUUAAUUUGCACAUAUUCAGACCUAUAAUUUAUGAAUUUUCAAAGUCAAAA
rnacentral:misc_RNA from 1 species